AAAUUGAAGAGUUUGAUCAUGGCUCAGAUUGAACGCUGGCGGCAGGCCUAACACAUGCAAGUCGAACGGUAACAGGAAGCAGCUUGCUGCUUUGCUGACGAGUGGCGGACGGGUGAGUAAUGUCUGGGAAACUGCCUGAUGGAGGGGGAUAACUACUGGAAACGGUGGCUAAUACCGCAUAACGUCGCAAGACCAAAGAGGGGGACCUUCGGGCCUCUUGCCAUCAGAUGUGCCCAGAUGGGAUUAGCUUGUUGGUGAGGUAACGGCUCACCAAGGCGACGAUCCCUAGCUGGUCUGAGAGGAUGACCAGCCACACUGGAACUGAGACACGGUCCAGACUCCUACGGGAGGCAGCAGUGGGGAAUAUUGCACAAUGGGCGCAAGCCUGAUGCAGCCAUGCCGCGUGUAUGAAGAAGGCCUUCGGGUUGUAAAGUACUUUCAGCGGGGAGGAAGGUGUUGUGGUUAAUAACCACAGCAAUUGACGUUACCCGCAGAAGAAGCACCGGCUAACUCCGUGCCAGCAGCCGCGGUAAUACGGAGGGUGCAAGCGUUAAUCGGAAUUACUGGGCGUAAAGCGCACGCAGGCGGUCUGUCAAGUCGGAUGUGAAAUCCCCGGGCUCAACCUGGGAACUGCAUUCGAAACUGGCAGGCUUGAGUCUUGUAGAGGGGGGUAGAAUUCCAGGUGUAGCGGUGAAAUGCGUAGAGAUCUGGAGGAAUACCGGUGGCGAAGGCGGCCCCCUGGACAAAGACUGACGCUCAGGUGCGAAAGCGUGGGGAGCAAACAGGAUUAGAUACCCUGGUAGUCCACGCCGUAAACGAUGUCUACUUGGAGGUUGUGCCCUUGAGGCGUGGCUUCCGGAGCUAACGCGUUAAGUAGACCGCCUGGGGAGUACGGCCGCAAGGUUAAAACUCAAAUGAAUUGACGGGGGCCCGCACAAGCGGUGGAGCAUGUGGUUUAAUUCGAUGCAACGCGAAGAACCUUACCUGGUCUUGACAUCCACGGAAGUUUUCAGAGAUGAGAAUGUGCCUUCGGGAACCGUGAGACAGGUGCUGCAUGGCUGUCGUCAGCUCGUGUUGUGAAAUGUUGGGUUAAGUCCCGCAACGAGCGCAACCCUUAUCCUUUGUUGCCAGCGGUUAGGCCGGGAACUCAAAGGAGACUGCCAGUGAUAAACUGGAGGAAGGUGGGGAUGACGUCAAGUCAUCAUGGCCCUUACGACCAGGGCUACACACGUGCUACAAUGGCGCAUACAAAGAGAAGCGACCUCGCGAGAGCAAGCGGACCUCAUAAAGUGCGUCGUAGUCCGGAUUGGAGUCUGCAACUCGACUCCAUGAAGUCGGAAUCGCUAGUAAUCGUGGAUCAGAAUGCCACGGUGAAUACGUUCCCGGGCCUUGUACACACCGCCCGUCACACCAUGGGAGUGGGUUGCAAAAGAAGUAGGUAGCUUAACCUUCGGGAGGGCGCUUACCACUUUGUGAUUCAUGACUGGGGUGAAGUCGUAACAAGGUAACCGUAGGGGAACCUGCGGUUGGAUCACCUCCUUACCUGAAAGAAGC
rnacentral:rRNA from 2 species